AGCAGCGCGAGACCCUCGCCAGGCUCUGAAGACGCGGCCUGGCCCUGGCCGUUCGGCCCUUCGUCUGAGCGCAAAGGCUCCAGCACCUCCGCGGCCGAAGCCGCGGGACUUUUCGUGGAAAAUGGGACCCAGCCCGAUCGCCAGCGGCGCUGCAGCGGACUCUGCGGGAACCUAGCUUCUGCUCCAGGACCUCCAGGGCCACCCCAGCUCGCAGGGCGUUCGCAGCGGCUCAGGGCGAAUCACGCUCAUGGUCCCCGUCUUUCCAGAGACACAUAGAAGGUGCCAUCUAUGAGGAACAGGCCUUCACCAGACAUCAAAUCUGUUGGCAUCUUGAUCUUUGACUUCUCCACCGCCAGAACUAGAUCAAGACAUGAAACCCAUGUUCAAGAUACUUUCCAGUGUGUCUUCAUGUGAUCCUCUGAGUCCAGCCAUCAGGCUACCAGCAGCUCUUGGAAACCCUGACAUACUUAUUCUUAGAAGACUGCUUUCCGGACUCAAAGUGGAACCUCAAAUUUUCAAUUUUCUUUGUUUUUAAAGCCUACACAUAGGUGAUGAUAUAUACAUGCAUAUAUAUUUUGGAGAAUUUAUAAUUCUGAAAACAAUGCUGGUCUUAUGGAACCCAUCCAUUCCCCUUUCCCCGUGUGUGCUCCGAGCUGUGGUGGCACGUGAAAAGGGGUCCUUCCAGCAGUGGCCCACAGCCCUGGGCUGCUUACUUGCUCACUUCAUUUACAAGAGCAAGAAAUACACAUUCUUGUGUUGUUUAAGUCAUUAUGAUGUGGGGAUUUCCAUUACUCACACACCUGAUCUAGUAGUAACACAGUAGCCUAUUUUAGCAAUAUCAUUUAUUCAAUAAUCCAUUCUUUCCCCAUUAG
rnacentral:lncRNA from 1 species